GAUGAACGCUGGCGGCGUGCCUAACACAUGCAAGUCGAGCGAUUUACUUCGGUAAAGAGCGGCGGACGGGUGAGUAACGCGUGGGUAACCUGCCCUGUACACACGGAUAACAUACCGAAAGGUAUGCUAAUACGAGAUAGUAUGCUUUUAUCGCAUGGUAGAAGUAUCAAAGCUCCGGCGGUACAGGAUGGACCCGCGUCUGAUUAGCUAGUUGGUAAGGUAACGGCUUACCAAGGCGACGAUCAGUAGCCGACCUGAGAGGGUGAUCGGCCACAUUGGAACUGAGACACGGUCCAAACUCCUACGGGAGGCAGCAGUGGGGAAUAUUGCACAAUGGACGAAAGCCUGAUGCAGCAACGCCGCGUGAGCGAUGAAGGCCUUCGGGUCGUAAAGCUCUGUCCUCAAGGAAGAUAAUGACGGUACUUGAGGAGGAAGCCCCGGCUAACUACGUGCCAGCCGCCGCCGUAA
rnacentral:rRNA from 1 species